GCCAGGCAUGGUGGUGCACACCUGUAAUCCCAGCUACUUGGGAGGCUGAGGCAAGAGUAUUGCAAGUUUGAGGCCAGCCUGGGCAACUUAGCAAGAUCUUGUCUCAA
rnacentral:sRNA from 1 species